rnacentral:rRNA from 1 species
UACGAAGGGGGCUAGCGUUGUUCGGAAUUACUGGGCGUAAAGCGCACGUAGGCGGAUCGAUCAGUCAGGGGUGAAAUCCCAGAGCUCAACUCUGGAACUGCCUUUGAUACUGUCGGUCUAGAGUAUGGAAGAGGUGAGUGGAAUUCCGAGUGUAGAGGUGAAAUUCGUAGAUAUUCGGAGGAACACCAGUGGCGAAGGCGGCUACACUGGU